UGGGGAAUCUUGGACAAUGGGGGAGACCCUGAUCCAGCCAUGCCGCGUGAGCGAAGAAGGCCUUAGGGUUGUAAAGCUCUUUCGCCGGGGAAGAUAAUGACGGUACCCGGUAAAGAAGCCCCGGCUAACUCCGUGCCAGCAGCCGCGGUAAUACGGAGGGGGCUAGCGUUGUUCGGAAUUACUGGGCGUAAAGCGCACGUAGGCGGAUUGUUCAGUCAGGGGUGAAAUCCCGGGGCUCAACCCCGGAACUGCCCUUGAUACUGGCAGUCUUGAGGCCGAGAGAGGUGAGUGGAACUCCGAGUGUAGAGGUGAAAUUCGUAGAUAUUCGGAAGAACACCGGUGGCGAAGGCGGCUCACUGGCUCGGUACUGACGCUGAGGUGCGAAAGCGUGGGGAGCAAACAGGAUUAGAUACCCCCGUAGUCC
rnacentral:rRNA from 1 species